rnacentral:rRNA from 1 species
CUGCUGCCUUCCGUAGGAGUUUGGACCGUGUCUCAGUUCCAAUGUGGGGGACCUUCCUCUCAGAACCCCUACUGAUCGUCGCCCCGGUGGGCCCGUUACCCCGCCGGCAAGCUAAUCAGACGCAUCCCCAUCCUUUACCGGCCGAAGCCUUUGGUCAUGAAAAUAUGCAUCAACAUGACAACAUACGGUAUUAAUCCGCCUUUCGACGGGCUGUCCCAUAGUAAAGGGCAGGUUGGAUACGCGUUACUCACCCGUGCGCCGGUCGCCA